GGUUGGAUAUACGGUACUUAAAAGCUAUGAAUAUACUUAGCACGCAUAUCCUCUAUUAAAAGUUUAAAAGUAGUCAGAUGUCUUUCUCAUUGUUGUGGGCAGUCACAGAUUUAUUAGGAGAGGUACAGCAGCAUCUCCAAGUAACUUAUGGUGGGAUCAUCAUCUAUUUAUCACCAAACUCCCAACAGACAAGAAUAAAAAGACUCAGGUUCAUCAAAUUGUGUCUGUAGUUCAAGUUCCUGUAUAUCACUUGCUUAUCCUUCAUUCUAUCAUUGUUCAAGUUGAGAUCUUGGACUUUUAUUUGUCCAAUUCUGAAACUAUGUUUUUUUAUUGUUAUAAUACUCAGUUCUAAAGCAGAAAAGUAGUAAGUAUUGUUAUUAGGAGGCAUAUAUACAAAUCCUACCUUCAAAAGCAUAGCAUAAAGGCUUAAGCACUGUAAAAAAGAUAUGGCUGCCUACUUGAUCUUAGCAUUUGUUGCAUGAUUAUGCAGUCCUUCUCCUUACCUUUGUAUAUGUAUGAAGUUAAGAUAGCUUUAUACUUUACCUAUAAUUGUAUUAGCCUUUCCUUUGAGUCUUGUACAUUGUUCAAAGUCUGUUUCCCACUUCUUCUUGAUAGUAGCUACAGCGGCCAUUUUAUUUUAUCCACCUACACGAUAACUGCACAUGGGUGGUAGUAAUGGCGUCAAGUGCUCUUCAAGUGUCCAUGUGCUUUGAUUUUACUUCUCCUUUUCUAUAACUGCGCUCUAGUUGUAUCAUAUAUCAAAAUACCAGGGUUUUGGAAAGGAUCAUAAUGCAAAAAAACCGCUGUCUGUAGCAUUUAAAAUAAGAAAGUUAUUACAUUAUGCAGAUUUAAAAGUCAAAGUGGCCCUAGUAUAGGUGUGUUAUGGGUUAAAAAUAGACAUCCAGAGAUAUUCUUCAGAAAAGUCUCGAGAAGGUCAUCUGUCUAAUGACUUUUUAAGAUUUGAGUAGUCCCCAUUCUAGGAAAACUUUGGCUGCAUAAAGCUAUCUUUCGAAGCUUCUACAUUGAUGACACAACAGCUAUUAUGAUGAGAUGUCUAGAUUGAUGUGACUAUUAUCCAAUGUACUGAGUGUUUUUAAUCUUAAUUUUCUCUUAAGCUGUGUUUUAUUGAGGACAUCAAGAAUAGGUCGGACCUACGGUGGAAUUUCUCCCUCUGGCAACUUCACUAUGACUAAUAACAAAAAUCUGUGGCAUUAGUAUUAUUCCCUAGAAAUCUACAAUGAAGUGACUAUUUUUGUCCUGUGGAUAUUUGGAAAGCUGUUUCUACAGUGAAGAAUACUGCCGUUUAUUGAUUAUUUUUGAUAAACUUGCUAUGCAUGCAACUUUUAUUUGAUUCCAACUAUUAGUUUUUACAUUAUAGAAU